UGCCAGACUCCUACGGGAGGCAGCAGUGGGGAAUAUUGCGCAAUGGGGGGAACCCUGAUGCAGCGACGCCGCGUGAGUGAAGAAGUCAUUCGUGAUGUAAAGCUCUAUCAGCAGGGAAGAAAAUGACGGUACCUGACUAAGAAGCCCCGGCUAACUACGUGCCAGCAGCCGCGGUAAUACGUAGGGGGCAAGCGUUAUCCGGAUUUACUGGGUGUAAAGGGAGCGUAGACGGCAGCGCAAGUCCGAAGUGAAAGCCCGGGGCCCAACCCCGGGACUGCUUUGGAAACUGUGAAGCUGGAGUGCGGGAGGGGCAGGCGGAAUUCCUGGUGUAGCGGUGAAAUGCGUGGAUAUCAGGAGGAACACCGGCGGCGAAGGCGGCUUACUGGACUGUAACUGACGUUGAGGCUCGAAGGCGUGGGGAGCAAACAGGAUUAGAUACCCGAGUA
rnacentral:rRNA from 1 species